rnacentral:rRNA from 1 species
UGGGGAAUAUUGGGCAAUGGGCGAAAGCCUGACCCAGCAACGCCGCGUGAAGUAUGAAGGCCUUCGGGUUGUAAACUUCUUUGAUCAGGGAAGAAACAAAUGACGGUACCUGAAAAACAAGCCACGGCUAACUACGUGCCAGCAGCCGCGGUAAUACGUAGGUGGCGAGCGUUAUCCGGAUUUACUGGGUGUAAAGGGCGUGCAGGCGGGCUGAUAAGUCAGAUGUGAAAUCCCCGAGCUUAACUCGGGAACUGCAUCUGAUACUGUUGGUCUUGAGUGCUGGAGAGGAUAGUGGAAUCCCUAGUGUAGCGGUAAAAUGCGCAGAUAUUAGGAGGAACACCAGUGGCGAAGGCGGCUAUCUGGACAGUAACUGACGCUGAGGCGCGAAAGCGUGGGUAGCAAACAGG